AGAGAUAUUACAAUUAAUAGUGUACAGAGGGAAAUGCAAUGACGCAGAGUUAAAUAUCAACAAUAAAUUGAACAUACACAUCUCUGAAAAAAAUGACCAGAGUAGGUUUUACUCUCUUUAGACUGGGACCAAAUGUUAUCUGUGGCAGAGUUACAUUUUCUUCAGUAAGAGUUCAAUUUACUGCAUUUGACACAACCCAGCCAAUGAAUUAUGAUGUCUCCAAUGUAUCUCCAACAUUGUGUAUGGCAGCAGGUUUGAAUACUCUGACCCCAAGAUCCAAGCCAAUGAGAACCUCAGAAUUAGUGGCUCUGUUUCAAUGCAGGUACAUGAUGUUUACUUUGUUUCUCACUCUUAGAGAAUAAUGCCAAACUGUUCACACUUGACUAAACCAUUAAAAUAAACUAAAUAUUCAAUUUGUUGUAGGCUACAUUUAUGCUUUACUUUUUGUUUAUGGGAAGAUAGUGGUACAACAUAUUCCCAUGGCUGGGACCUUGGCUGAAAACCAAUAAGCUUUUGUUAAAGAAUAUUGAAAACAACAAGAAGGAGAUGAGGGAGGUCUCCAGGAACAGUGUUGAAGUUAAAACCUACAGGAGAGUAGCUCAACUACAGGAACAGGGUUGGAGUUAAAACCUACAGGAGAGUAGCUCAACUACAGGAACAGGGUUGGAGUUAAAACCUACAGGAGAGUAGCUCAACUACAGGAACAGGGCUGGAGUUAAAACCUACAGGAGAGUAAGCUACUCUACCUGUAGGUUUUUAAACUGUAACCCCUGUGGUAAGAGUACUCUCCCUGUAGGUUUU
rnacentral:lncRNA from 1 species